CAGCAAGGCUAGUAGUGCUUUUGGUAGACUUGAUAAGUGUUUGUGGAAACAACAUAAUAUAUCUUCACAAAUUAAAGUUAAGGUAUGUAACACAUGUGUCUUCCCAUCUUUGCUAUAUGGAAGUGAGGCAUAGGUUAUCCACCUUAGACUAU